rnacentral:pre_miRNA from 1 species
UCUUACGGAAGAGCAAAGACAGUGGUUUUUUGAGAUGGAAUCUGCUCCUGGUGAAGAUGCUGUGAA